rnacentral:rRNA from 1 species
UUUCCAGACUCCUACGGGAGGCAGCAGUGAGGAAUAUUGGUCAAUGGUCGGGAGACUGAACCAGCCAAGCCGCGUGAGGGAUGAAGGUACAGAGUAUCGUAAACCUCUUUUGUCAGGGAACAAAGGCGGGGACGUGUCCCCGGAUGAGUGUACCUGAAGAAAAAGCAUCGGCUAACUCCGUGCCAGCAGCCGCGGUAAUACGGAGGAUGCGAGCGUUAUCCGGAUUUAUUGGGUUUAAAGGGUGCGCAGGCGGGCUGUUAAGCCGGCGGUAAAAAUUCAGGGCUCAACCCUGUCGAGCCGUCGGAACUGGCAGCCUUGAGUGGGCGAGAAGUAUGCGGAAUGCGUGGUGUAGCGGUGAAAUGCAUAGAUAUCACGCAGAACGCCGAUUGCGAAGGCAGCAUACCGGCGCCCGACUGACGCUGAGGCACGAAAGCGUGGGGAUCGAACAGGAUUAGAUACCCCAGUAC